rnacentral:rRNA from 1 species
UACAGAGACUGCGAGCGUUAUUCGGAUUCACUGGGCGUAAAGGGUGCGCAGGCGGCCGUGUGUGUGAGGCGUGAAAGCCCGGGGCUCAACUCCGGAAUUGCCUUUAAGACUGCAUCGCUCGAAUUGUGGAGAGGUAAGUGGAAUUCCGAGUGUAGAGGUGAAAUUCGUAGAUAUUCGGAAGAACACCAGUGGCGAAGGCGACUUACUGGACACAUAUUGACGCUGAGGUGCGAAAGCGUGGGGAGCAAACAGG